UCCUUGCCUUUCUUCCUUCCUUCAGUACAUUCAUAUUGAGCGAUUACUUUGUGCUCAGCAUUGUUCUAGUGCUGGGGGUACAGCAGGGAAAGAUCUCUGCGACCGUGAAAUUUACUUUCUAGUGGAGGGAGGUAGACAAUAAGCAAGGAAAAAAAAAAAAAGAAUGGGCUAUCUGAUGAGAUAUGUGCUGUGGAGAAAAGAAAGAAAACCAUAGACAGAGGAGAACAUGGAAGUGACUCAGGAGGCAAGACCAUCAGCUGGGAUGCGGGCAGGGAAAGGGUCUCGGAGACAGGAGGGCAGAGGAGAAGCCACGCAGCCGUUGCCUGGGAAGGCACGAAAGGAGGCCCUGGCAAUGCAGCGUGGGCAGACGUGCAACGUGGGGACUUAACAGCAUGCUGCAGAUCAGGGUCCAGGAGAAGGAAUGCGCCCAGCACACCUCAAGCUUCCAAGACUGGAUUUACAUCUUUAGGCAAGCUCCCCUGCCCCCAUAUCCAAACUGCGCGUGUGGGGAGCGGGCCCUUGCUUUGGGGUGGUCUUACAAGGUCCCCUAUGCCACUGAGCCUAAUGUACCCAUAAAGCAGAUACUAUCCCUGUCAUGUCCUUAGGAAAAAGACCCCCAUCUCCUGGGCAAGAGCCAGUGUUGGGCUGCCCUGUCUGGUUUAAUUGUCCUUGUAUUUUUGGGUCUGUUUUUUGGCAGAGGCUGCUUUUCCUAGAUGACUUAACAUCUGUUAGCUUGCUUCUA